rnacentral:rRNA from 1 species
AGAAAUAGCGGGUAAUACCGAAUAGACUUAUAGCUGAGAAAGAAGUGAUAAGGAAAGGAAGCUAAGGCUUCGCUUAAGGAUGAGCCUGCGUCCCAUUAGCUAGUUGGUAAGGUAACGGCCUACCAAGGCGACGAUGGGUAUCCGGCCUGAGAGGGUGAACGGACACAUUGGGACUGAGAUACGGCCCAAACUCCUACGGGAGGCAGCAGCUAGGAAUAUUCCGCAAUGGACGGAAGUCUGACGGAGCGACGCCGCGUGGAUGAAGAAGGCUGAAAAGUUGUAAAAUUCUUUUGCUGACGAAGAAUAAAGAUAAGAGGGAAUGCUUAUCAGAUGACGGUAGUCGGCGAAUAAGCCCCG